rnacentral:rRNA from 1 species
AUUGAACGCUGGCGGCAUGCCUAACACAUGCAAGUCGAACGGCAGCGCGGGAAAGCUUGCUUUCCUGGCGGCGAGUGGCGGACGGGUGAGUAAUACUUAGGAAUCUGCCCAAUAGUGGGGGACAACUCGGGGAAACUCGAGCUAAUACCGCAUACGACCUACGGGUGAAAGCGGGGGAUCUUCGGACCUCGCGCUAUUGGAUGAGCCUAAGUCGGAUUAGCUAGUUGGUAGGGUAAAGGCCUACCAAGGCGACGAUCCGUAGCUGGUCUGAGAGGACGAUCAGCCACACUGGGACUGAGACACGGCCCAGACUCCUACGGGUGGCAG